rnacentral:rRNA from 1 species
AUGGAAGUCGACGCAGACAGCUGCAAGGCGCCCGCCGACUCCGAGCCUGCCGACGAGCGCGUGGCGCGGCGCAAGUCGGCGAUCGGCUUCGGGCUGGCCGUGUCGGCGGCAUGCGCGACAGCAGGCGGCGCGCUGCUGGCGUACCUGCCCGGAGUGUCCAUGGGCGCGGCCUACGGGCUGGGCUUCGGCGGCCUCCUCUUCCUGCAGGCCUUCGCCUUCUUCCUCGCUCCCAUGCUGUGGCCGGUGGAGCACAUGACUAAGACGAUGUUCUCGUGGAUGUUCAAGAUCGCGAACUCCCUGAGCAUGCUGUUCUGGGGUGCAUUGAUCAUUGCACUGUUUGACAAGGUCGCCGCUGCGACCGCCGUCAUGCUAGUCGCCGACGUUGCCGGCGCAGCGUCCCUCGGCUGGUUGCUCUCCAUGAAUGAAGGUAUCUCCGCGCAGGACUCGUCACCAGUCGAUGAUAUGGUUUAG